rnacentral:rRNA from 1 species
GACGAACGCUGGCGGCGUGCUUAACACAUGCAAGUCGAACGGAAAGGCCCUGCUUUUGUGGGGUGCCCGAGUGGCGAACGGGUGAGUAACACGUGAGUAACCUGCCCUUGACUUUGGGAUAACUUCAGGAAACUGGGGCUAAUACCGGAUAGGAGCUCCUGCUGCAUGGUGGGGGUUGGAAAGUUUCGGCGGUUGGGGAUGGACUCGCGGCUUAUCAGCUUGUUGGUGGGGUAGUGGCUUACCAAGGCUUUGACGGGUAGCCGGCCUGAGAGGGUGACCGGCCACAUUGGGACUGAGAUACGGCCCAGACGCCUACGGGAGGCAGCAGUGGGGAAUAUUGCACAAUGGGCGGAAGCCUGAUGCAGCAACGCCGCGUGCGGGAUGACGGCCUUCGGGUUGUAAACCGCUUUCGCCUGUGACGAAGCGUGAGUGACGGUAAUGGGUAAAGAAGCACCGGCUAACUACGU